rnacentral:tRNA from 1 species
GUUUAUAUAGUUUAUUUAAAACUUUACAUUUUCAAUGUAAAAAUAAAAUUUUAUAUUUUUAUAAAU